rnacentral:rRNA from 1 species
GAUGAACGCUGGCGGCGUGCCUAAUACAUGCAAGUCGAGCGAAUGGAUUAAGAGCUUGCUCUUAUGAAGUUAGCGGCGGACGGGUGAGCAACACGUGGGUAACCUGCCCAUAAGACUGGGAUAACUCCGGGAGACCGGGGCUAAUACCGGAUAACAUUUUGAACCGCAUGGUUCGAAAUUGAAAGGCGGCUUCGGCUGUCACUUAUGGAUGGACCCGCGUCGCAUUAGCUAGUUGGUGAGGUAACGGCUCACCAAGGCAACGAUGCGUAGCCGACCUGAGAGGGUGAUCGGCCACACUGGGACUGAGACACGGCCCAGACUCCUACGGGAGGCAGCAGUAGGGAAUCUUCCGCAGUGGACGAAAGUCUGACGGAGCAACGCCGCGUGAGUGAUGAAGGCUUUCGGGUCGUAAAACUCUGUUGUUAGGGAAGAACAAGUGCUAGUUGAAUAAGCUGGCACCUUGACGGUACCUAACCAGAAAGCCACGGCUAACUACGUGCCAGCCGCCGCAGUAA